UACGAAGGGGGCUAGCGUUGCUCGGAAUCACUGGGCGUAAAGCGCACGUAGGCGGUUUUCUAAGUCAGGGGUGAAAUCCUGGAGCUCAACUCCAGAACUGCCUUUGAUACUGGGAAUCUCGAGUCCGGGAGAGGUGAGUGGAACUGCGAGUGUAGAGGUGAAAUUCGUAGAUAUUCGCAAGAACACCAGUGGCGAAGGCGGCUCACUGGCCCGGUACUGACGCUGAGGUGCGAAAGCGUGGGGAGCAAACAGG
rnacentral:rRNA from 1 species